rnacentral:rRNA from 1 species
GACGAACGCUGGCGGCGUGCCUAAUACAUGCAAGUAGAACGCUGAAGAGAAGAGCUUGCUCUUCUUGGAUGAGUUGCGAACGGGUGAGUAACGCGUAGGUAACCUGCCUGGUAGCGGGGGAUAACUAUUGGAAACGAUAGCUAAUACCGCAUGAUAUUAAUUGUCGCAUGAUAAUUAAUUGAAAGAUGCAAUUGCAUCACUACCAGAUGGACCUGCGUUGUAUUAGCUAGUUGGUGAGGUAACGGCUCACCAAGGCGACGAUACAUAGCCGACCUGAGAGGGUGAUCGGCCACACUGGGACUGAGACACGGCCCAGACUCCUACGGGAGGCAGCAGUAGGGAAUCUUCGGCAAUGGGGGGAACCCUGACCGAGCAACGCCGCGUGAGUGAAGAAGGUUUUCGGAUCGUAAAGCUCUGUUGUAAGAGAAGAACGGGUGUGAGAGUGGAAAGUUCACACUG